GCCCUGGCGGCCGAGGAGGCGGCGGUGUGGGGAGUUCAGCCUCCGCCCUCCCCUUUCCUCCACCCCCACCCCGCCGCCAGCCUGACGGGCCAGUGACUGCGGGCGCCCUGGGUUGGCGAUGUCACCCUCGUGGCCACCUGCCCGCGGCCGGCCCUCGGCGGCCAGUGCCCCGAGCCGCCCUUACCUGAGCCGGAGAUGUGGACCCGGAGUGGGCGGCCCCUGCUUGAGGACGACGAGAGGUCGCUCUGCGAUCGGCCGCGGGGGCUUGGGUCCCCGGGCAGCCACUGCAGGGCAGGCGCCGGCGGCGGGGCGGGCGCCUCGGACUCGGGGACUGGGACCGCCACCGCCUGUCCGGCCGGAUUGACCGGGAACCCCGCGGGGCGCCAACCCGCCUCGGCCAUCGGCUCCCCGCGGCGGGGCCGAAGCACGGGGUGCGGCCGGCGCCGAGGGCUGCGCUGCCCGCUGCUGCCCUGCUGUGCCCCGCGCACCGCGACCCGGAGGCAGAGAAGGGCGGGGAGGUGGACGCCGGGCGCCGAGGAGCCGAGGAGCCGGUGCGGAGGGCGGGAGGAGGAAGAGGACAGAAAAGUUUGCACAGGAAGGAGCCGCCUACAGCCGGCUCUCGCUCCAGCGGGCUAAAGCUGCAGGGCUCAGAGCUGGGCCGCCCUCGGUGCCCGCGAACCUGCCCUGCUGCUCCUCCCCCAAGCCCCGGGCACUGGUCCCUGGCAGGAUGGCAGCAGGGGGUCCCCUCCGCGGAGCGCUGUUCACCCAGCAAUCCGGCCGCAGAAAAGCCGAGUUUGGGCUUCAGGAGCUCGGAUGCAAGGUGAGCCCAAUGUAAUCACAAGAGUCCUUGAAUGGGGAAGUGGAAGGCAGAAGAGUGAGACCAGAGAGAUGGCAUCAUGAGAAAUUCUCAAGCUGCCUUUGCUGGCUUUAAAGAUCAAAGAGUCCACAAGAUAAGAAAUGAGGGCAGCCUCUAGAAGCUGAAAGAGGGUUGUGAAAACUCCACCUUUUCUUCCAACUGGUGCAGCCCAGGGGACACUGUCUCCCUCAGCCAUAAGGGCCACUGGAAAGGAGACUCGACGUGUGACUGAAACCUCAUCUCCCUGAACUGGGUCUCCAUGCACAGCCACUCAUUAGAUCAUUCAUUUUUCCCUGAAGACAUUGGGAAGGAGAGAAGUGGAAGGUAAGUGUAUCACAUGUUCUGAUGCUUAGCUGCAUACUAGGGUCAUUAAAUUACCUGCCACUGAUGACCCUGGUGCAGAGAAAAAGUGGCCAUUUGUUUUUGUUUCUAGUCACUCUGCUUGCCUCAGCAGACAGCAUGCUCCUGUCCCCCAUGCACACACUGGGUGGUUGGUGAUCAAAUUUAAAUAUUCUACCUGCAUUAAACGUAGUCAAAUCUUGUCAAUUAAACAGCAUCUUCAGCAAAUAUGUAGGCUGUUCUUUGGGUAACAACGCUCAAUAUUGCACAUGCCUCCCCCUCCCCUGCUGCUCUCUAAAGUGUCAUGGAGUAGGGGCAGGGGUCCUGAGGGGUUCUCCAGGUUCUGGGAAGGAACACGCCAUCUCUGCCUCCUCUAGUCCUGGAGUGCUGACACCGGUUCUUUCAUUGUUCCCAGAUGAAGCCUGAAGCUGCUCUAAUUCAAGAUCUGGUCUGUAUUGGGCUCCUGCCUCCCCACUCAGUUUCCACAGACAGGCAAGAGUCCUCUGAGGAAUGGCUGUGAACCCCAGGUCCUUGGCACAGGAGGCCUUGGCCACAGAGAACCACUCAGGGCAGAUUUCCUGUUAGGUUCUUGGCUAAUUCUGGGUCCUGUUUGUGUCACUCGAAUAUCAGGGUCACCCCAGGAAAGCUAAAAAGCAGCUUCACCAUCUGUCUAACAUGACUGUACCUUGCUACAUUUGCCAGUUAGCCUGAGUCCUAAUCAGGACAUUUCUGUCCUGAUUCUCAUUUAGGACUUCAGACUAAAUGGGAAUCAGGACAGAAAUGCCCCUUCCCAUAGGCUUCCCUGAAUUGAUCUAACACACACACACGGUAAUACUGGUUCACAUGUAGACGAGGCUUGACGUGUACUUCGCAUGAUUUAAUUCUCACGAUACACCUAGGAGGAAGAUGUACAAUUAUCAUUCACAUUUAAUAGGUGAAGAAACUGAGGCACACAGAGGUUCAAUGCCUUCCCCAGGAUUACACAGCUCUAUGGCAGAGGCUGGAGUGGGGCCACAGCCUGGUGGCUCUUCCCUCUCUGCUGAAUUCCAGGGCCUCCUCCCUUUAUUCCUCUCUGCUUCUCUUCCCUGUCCCCUGGUCUGAAAAAGUCGAGUUUUCUUUUAUUUCCGCCACGCCUGCUCUUCUACCAUGAAGCUGGGAUAUUUACCAUAUAAAGACUGGAUUGGGUUCAGUUCCUUUUGAACCUUUUCUCCUGCAUAUCCAGAGACUGCAUUGAUGCCAGCUGCCAGGCAAUGUUUCACUUCUUCCACUGUCCACUUCAGAAGAAUUCUGGGGACUGCCAAGAAUGGCUGGUGGCAGUCAUCCAACUCCCAUACGGAGAUCUAUCCAGAAUGUGUCCUCGAGAGCCUCGCUCAGAUAUCAACUCCACCUCAGCAGCUAAUCAUAUCCGUGUGGACACACAUGGCAAGACUGUUUCCUCUGGCAGCAGCAAGGAACUUGACCAGGGCUGGCCUCUCACCCUCUCCCGCCUGGGCACCCUGAGUAUCAGCAGCUGCCCAACAUGCGGCUGCUGGCCAUGGUGGUUCCAGAAGGAACCAUGCCUUCAUCUUCUACCCUAAGUAACCUCAGACAAACAGAAUCAGAGUUGACAAUGUUCCGCAUCAAGACCAUAAGUCCUUCAAACGCCUUAUACGUGAGCCAUGUGCACCUGCAGAACCCAGGGUUUUACUCAGAUUUCUGGAUCCCCUAUCAAAAUAUUUAAAUACACAGUUUAAGCCAUAUGAGGUAUGAUUCUAUUGCUCAGUUAGCAGUAGCUUCAAAUGCAAAGACUAGCUUUGUAAGGCAUUACAGAUGUACAAAAUGUUAAUGGAAUCUACAGCAGGCAGGUCUUUCCAUAAAGGACCAUGUUCUAAACAACUUCAUAGAUUUAUUUCUUUCAGUCAUUUAACAAAUAUUUUUAAGUAGAAUCUCUUUUUCCUCUUCACUUCCAGAUAAUACUGUUUGCUAUUCCUUUCAAAUCCUAUAGCAAUAGCUCCCAACCUGGUAUACUAGGAUUCUUAUGUGUCCUGAAGGGCACUAAGGGAGGUCUUCAAUAUAUUUUCAAUAUUUCUUACAGAAAAUAGACUUUUAUGAUAAGGUUGUACUUACCAGUUAAAAACAUUUCUUUGCCUUCAAGUGAAAUGACAGAUGACCCAAGUGGCAUCCAUGCAGAUCUGAUUACCACUCUUUAACUGAAAUAUAUGGAAGUGUAAAUAAUUCAUAACAUGAUAAAAGGACUCCGGGAGAUGGGCGUUUCUGCUAUGUGGGGUUCACAUGGGGAAAGGAUGCCCAUUUAUGAGAGGACAGGGUCCUCCUGCUGCUGCAUUGUCACUACAGUCAUGUCUACUCUCCCUUUGACAGUUCACAGUAUCAUUGUCACUGUGAAAAUUGUCUUUUGCACUUAUUACACAAACUUCUGAUUAGAGAGGAU